AUGUUCCCAGAUAAGCCAUGGCACGUCUAAGUACAAACUAAAUUGGAUGGGUGAAACUGCAAAUGGCUCAUUACAACGGUUAUGAUGUACCCGGGGAAUUCCGAAUGGAUAUUUCCAGUAACACUAGAACUAAUACAUGGUCCCCGCGUUUAUUAGUUUCGCACAGUCCGUCGCUGAGUCAUGGUAAACAGUUGAUCGACUCGACGUCCCGGAACAGUUUCCGCCCCAUCAGCUUCGAUGGUUGGGUAUUGGCCUACCAUUUGCAACAACGGGUAACGAGGAAUUAGGGUUUGAUUUCGGAGAGGGAGCCUGAGAAACGGCUACCACAUCUACGGAUGGCAGCAGGCGCGCAAAUUACCCAAUGCAGACACUGUGAGGUAGUGACGAGAAAUAAUAAAGCGGGACUUCUGUUUCGCUAUUAUAAUGAGGAAUAACCAAAGGUCAUUCCGAUUAGCAACUGAUGGGAAAGUCUGGUGCCAGCAGCCGCGGUAAUACCAGCG
rnacentral:rRNA from 1 species